UCUCGAUAGCGUAAAAGUUAACUCAAAUUUGUAUGGAGUUGGAACCUUUGCUUACAUUUGCCGCUAGGGGCGCUGUUCCAACUGCAUACAAAUUUGAGUUAACUUUUACAUUAUCGA
rnacentral:pre_miRNA from 9 species